GCCAUCUCUUUCUUUAGGUGAGGGAAGUUUUCAUCUACAAUAUUGUUGAAGAUGUUUUCUGGCCCUUUAAGUUGGGAAUCUUCACUCUCUUCUAUACCUAUUAUUCUUAGGUUUGGUCUUCUCAUUGUGUCCUGGAUUUCCUGGAUAUUUUAGGUUAGGAGCUUUUUGCAUUUUGCGUUUUCUUUGACUGUUGUGUCAAUGUUUUCUAUGGUAUCUUCUGCACCUGAGAUUCUCUCUUCUAUCUCUUGUAUUCUGUUGUUGAUCCUUGUGUCUGUAGUUCCUGUACUCUUUCCUAGGUUUCCCAUCUCCGGGGUUGCCUCCAUUUGUCUUUUCUUUAUUACUUCUAUUUCCAUUUUUAGGUCUUGGACUGAUUUAUUCAUUUCUUUUCUUUUUUUUUUUCUUUUUCCAUUUUUUAUUAGGUAUUUAGCUCAUUUACAUUUCCAAUGCUAUACCAAAAGUCUCCCAUACCUACCCACCCCCAUUCCCCUACCCACCCACUCCCCCUUUUUGGCCCUGGCGUUCCCCUGUACUGGGGCAUAUAAAGUUUGCCUGUCCGAUGGGCCUCUCUUUCCAGUGAUGGCCGACUAGGCCAUCUUUUGAUUUAUUCAUUUCUUUCUCCUGUUUGUAUUUUCCUACAUUUCUUUAAGGGAUUCAUUUGUUUCCUCUUUAAAGGCUCCUGCCUGUUUGCCUGUGUUUUCCUCUAUUUCUUUAAGGGAAUUAUUUAUAUCCUCCUUAAAGGCCUCUAUUGUCUUCAUGAGCUGGGAUUCAAGAUCAUAGUCUUGCUCUUCAGGUAUUUUAGGAUACCAGGGGCAUGCGGUAGUAGGAGAGCUGGGUUCUGAUUGUGCCAUAUUGUGUUGGCUUCUGUUGAUUAAAUCUUGCUCUUGCCUUUCGCCAUCUGGUUUUCUCUGGUGUUGGUUGGCCUGGGUAUCUGGGUUGGAGCAGACUUCCCAGGAGGCAGUUGGAGCCAUGUGUCUUUGGUUUGAGCAGGCCUCCUGGGAGGCAGUUGGAUCUGUGGGCUGGGGUACAGUGUGCUGAUCGGCCACUUCUGCUGAUGUAGGUGUGGACCAGGAAGAAGAUGGAGCUUCCCAAGUCUUCUAGGCUUGCUAGGGUCCCAGCAGGUGAAGGGGGAAUCUGGGGCAGGGGGAUGUGUCUCACUUGUAUGUGUGUCAGGCUAGAGCUGGCCUCCUGGGAGGAAGGCACAGCUGUGGGAUGUGUUGAGAUGCUCUGAUCUAUGACUGUUAGUGUGGACUAGAAGUUAAAUCAAGAUUAUUAAAAAAAAAAAUAUGAUAUAGGCUGGGUAAAACCUUGGGAAAGAAGUAGAACUUUCUAGCGAGGUAAUUUUUAAUCAGGUAUAAUUCAAUAUGUAUACACUUACUAUUAUAUAAAAGGCAAAUUUAAUGAAUAGAAAAGUCAUAAUUUUGUAAUACUAAAAAUGUAGACAGAAUGAUGGUUUUUAAAUUAGUUGUAGAAGAAAAAUGGAAAAUCUUCUAAACAGGCAUUUUGCAAAACUACUUGUUUGUCUUUUUAAUAUCUAGUUUCUGUUUCUCUUUGUAUAGACUAUAGCUUUCUCUACCAGGUAGAAAUGUACAGGCAUGUGAUGGAGCACAUGUUUGGGUAUGGCAGAGCUCAUUCAUUAAAUCCCUAAACU
rnacentral:lncRNA from 1 species